AUGGAAUAUGCUUACUUUGUCACUUUUCUUCUGACACUGUACACAAGUGUGCAGAGCCAGGAAGCAGUAACACAGACACCACAUACACUUGCUGCAAAUGAGGGUAAAGAUGUGGAGUUUUCCUGCAAAGUCAGAGCUGCUGAUGACACUAUUGUGUGGUACAAACAGGUGCCUAACCACGGAUUACAGAUCAUGAUUCAUACUUAUGGUAAAACCAAAACGAGUGGUCGAUUUAAAUUGACAAAACACAACAAUACUCUCUGGGUGUUCAGCCUCAGUAAGGUGAUGUUACAAGAUUCUGCCUUGCACUUCUGCGCAGCGAGUGGCACAGAGGUACAGAUGCAGGAACUCUUGAGACAUAAAGUAUAUCCUGUCACGAGCGUCUGUAGUACUGAUACCCUCUGCUGCCAUGGAGAGAGCUUUGAUUGUGAGGACCCAUGCCAUGAGCCUGACAAGGAUGAGAGAAGUAUUUGA